rnacentral:sRNA from 1 species
ACGGGGCUUCCGGUCGGGCGGGUCCGCCCGCUCUCGCGCCCUUUGCCGGGUCCGGACACCGGUUCCGUUGCAAACAUUUUUAAAGGGCUGGUUAUUCUUCGUGAAAUGAGUUUGGUGAUUAGAAAUCUGCAGCGAGUCAUCCCCAUCAGGAGAGCACCACUUCGCAGUAAGAUCGAGAUUGUAAGGAGGAUUUUAGGAGUGCAGAAAUUUGACCUGGGGAUCAUCUGUGUUGACAACAAGAAUAUUCAGCACAUUAAUAGAAUCUACAGAGAUAGAAAUGUCCCAACCGAUGUGCUUUCUUUUCCAUUUCAUGAGCAUCUGAAAGCAGGUGAAUUUCCCCAGCCUGAUUUUCCAGAUGACUACAAUUUGGGAGACAUUUUCCUAGGAGUGGAGUAUAUCUUCCAUCAGUGUCAAGAAAAUGAAGAUUACAAUGAUGUCCUGACUGUAAGCGGGGAUGCUGAAAUCAUAUAACCUGGCUCAUGGAACAUGGGCCUUGCAAAGGGGUCAAGAUCAUAACCCUGCAUCCAUGUGUGUCCGUGGGUACCGUAAGGGCUACUGGGGAAGAACCUGUAAGCAGGGUGUGAGGAGCACCCAGGCUGGGUAGGGACUGCAUGCCUCAUGCCACAGUUGAAGGAGGGAGAGAACAUGCUGUGAAAACACAGAAGCUCCCAGAGAAGCCUUCUCAGCUUUUAUCUCUGGAGUAGAGCAGACUAUGUUGAGCUAACACAGACCUGCUGGAUCAGCUUCUUUCUGAGCUGCCAGAAGUACAGAAGUUGGAGCCUCCACCACCUUCCAGAUGUGUUUCUCCUCAGUGUAAUCCGCCUAUGGGUUCUUCCUGCCCACUGCACAGACAAAACCAAUUCGCUGAGACUGUGGUAUUGCAGUAGAGAAAGAGUUUAACACAGAGCUAG